ACAAGUCUUGUAAGAAUACAUUCAGCAUUUUUCUUUUUUUUUUUUUUAAGAUUUAUUUAUUAUUAUAUGUAAGUACACUGUAGCUGUCUUCAGACACACCAGAAGAGGGUGUCAAAUUUUCUUACGGAUGGUUGUGAGCCACCAUGUGAUUGCUGGGAUUUGAACUCUGGACCUUCGGAAGAGCAGUCGGGUGCUCUUACCCACUGAGCCAUCUCACCAGCCCUCAGCAUUUUUCUUAGCCUAAAUAUAAGUAAUUUGAUAAAAUGGAAAUUGUCUGUUGCUACUGUACUAUCACAUAACUCUGUGAAAGAUGUUACAUGUUUAUUAAAUACAAUCAUGAGUUUCUUUUUAUACAUUUUUUGUUUUCUUUAAUUAUUUUAAAUAUUUAUUUAUUUUUAUUUCACAAGCAUUGGUUUGGUUUUGGUUUUUUGUUUUGGUUUUUUGAUUUUUGGUUUUGUUUUGUUUUGUUUGUUUGUUUUUUCGAGACAGGGUUUCUCUGUGUAGUCGUGACUGUCCUGGAACUCACUCUGUAGACCAGGCUGGCCUCGAACUCAGAAAUCCUCCUGUUUCUGCCUCCCAAGUGCUGGGAUUAAAGGCGUGUGCCACCACUGCCCGGCCCUAAGCAUUGGUAUUUUACCUACAUGUGUAUAUAUGUGAGGGUGUCAGAUCUCUUAGAACUAGAGUUACAGGCAGCUAUGAGCUUCCAUGUGGGUGCUGGGAAUUGAACCCAGGUUCUCUGGAAAAAGAGCCCAUGUUCACAAACCACCAAGCCAUCUCUCCAGCCCCUCCUUUAAUUAUCUUUAUAAAUGAUUAUAAGUCACAUUAAGUAUAAACAGUUUAGAACCUCUCUAGAAUGUGUGUGUCAAUUGAUGCACAACUCAAGUUAUGUGAUGACUGGUACUCCAUCCUCUGAUACUGUUUGCUUCCUUCAGUUCCUACUUGCUAUGUAUGUCAGAUGCUCUUUGGAACUGCUCCCCACCACCUACUGUAGUCAUUUACUUCAUGCCUUCGUCCUUGAUUUCUAGUGUCAAAGAGACUGUCAGCUUAUCUCUCCUAUCUCUUCCUAUUUCAGUAUGCUACCCAGUUACUUCCCGAGGAAACUGUUGAGCAUGACAGUCUUUAAAGGGCCAGUGAUUCUUGUCCUAAAUGACUGCAUUGCCGAGUGGCUGGAACAUCCUUGUAGUCGUAGCACUUGGGAAACCACAGAGAGCUGCACAGUGGGAGUCUUCUCAAGAAAAAGAAAAGGAAAAAAAGUGCUUCAUUAAACGUGACAGUCAUUCUAAACAUGAAACUCACUUGGUGGAGUGCUUGCCUGCAUUUGUAAGGCCCUAGGUUUGAUCCCAGCACCAAAACAAAAAGGUGUCACAAUCUUAACACCCUUAGACUCCAUUUCUUGUUUCUUUAGAUUUUGUUUGGAGGUUUUAGUGGGAAGCAGAUAUUCAUAUGUUUUUAAUCAAAAAGCUGUCUUUCUCUAUGGGGGGAAAGUCAUCCUUCUGACCUGAGCACAUGGCUACUGGGAGGGUGUGCUGUGAGCCUAAUAGCCAACCCUGGUGAGGAGUGGGUGGCAGAUGUCACUGCUGGUCACCUCAUAUUCCCUGGUGUCAUUACAAUUCCAUCUCCUGCUCUUUUUCCCAUUCCUAUGCUUUCUGCUCAGUUUUUUAUUAUGACUACACAGAGUAGGUUAAAGUGUGACAUAGGCUCACAUGCUUCCUCCCAUUACUUUAAUUGUCUUUCUGAUGCUUUUCCAUCAUUUUCCUUUUCCAUAUAUUUAGCCUUCCAAGUGUAGCAUCAGUUAAUAUUUCAUCAUAUCUAAAGAGUUACCAUGCGCUAUUCUCUUAUUUAUCAGCAUUAGUCUUGUUAACAAACAUAUAUAGUCUAUUUCAGCUAUUAAGUAACCUUUACAUUGUAUUAAAACUUACUGUGUAUCUUUCUCUGCUGGUAAAUUAACUGAGUGUAGUCCUGUCUUUUGUAUACUGCUGAGUUCCUACAGUAGAAUUUGAACUCACUCAAAUGUUGUCUGCUGUCUUUUCAUUCAGAAGAGAAUUUAAUAUUUGAUCAAUAGGAUUAACAAGUAUUCGUUAGGUACCUACUUUGGGUUUAAUAUUGAUUAGGGUAGGAACAUAUGAAAGUUGUUUAUGACUUGAUUCUUUCAGAGAAUUUUUAGUCCGGGUGAGAAGGCAAUAUUAGACUGUGUGAAUAGUUGUAGUGUGAGUAAUACUUUGCUGAGUCAGAUAAAUGAGAACAACGGAGUCAUUGGACGCUCACUUUGGAUACUAUGAUUGAGCCCACAUGAAUAAAGACAUACACUGAUUAAAAUGUUAAAGAGGAGUACUUAAAUGGCAGGGGGAAGAAUUUCUACCCCAACAUAGUAAAUAAAAGGAAGGCCUCAGUUUAGAAGUGUUGGUCUUGUGAGUGAAGAAAAGAUUGUAGAGAGAAAUAAUUCUGGGAACUUUAAGCAAUCUAGGACUGAGACUCUAAGAGCCUAAACUAUGGAAGGAAUGGAAAUAAAGUGAAAAACAGAUCUAAAGAUCUCAAUGUAAAAUGAAAAAUAAGCUACAUACCUUUUGUAUUCCAAGAAGGAAAAACCAAGGCACUGUUACAACCAAGUCAAGUAAAACCAAACCCUAACAGUAUGAGUAACUCAGUAUCCAAUGUGUGGGCUUCACUCAAAUCUUCUGGGUUCCAGAGGGCUUGGACAGUGUGUGGUUCACAGCACAUGCAACUUGUCAUAGACUCAGGCUGGCUACACUCCACAGCUGCUGCUGUCCUUAGCAACCAUUUCAUGGUACUGGCAUCUCCAAAAAUGCUAAGUCUCUGCUGCAAAAGAUCUGCAUAGAGCACUCUUGGGCUGUUUUCUCUAACUUUGCCACAUAGCCACAGCCUUUCACUAUGACACCUCCAAGCAUGGGGCUUCUGUGUCAGCUGAGGCUGAACUAUCAUCAGUGGCCUCACUGCUCUCUCAGUGCCAAGUCUCAGCUGCUCUUCUUGAUUCCUUCAUGCCUUAUGACUGGUACCAUGUGGGAGGCUCUUCUGUGUACCAAGUUCAGCUGCCAGCAUAGCAUACAGCUUUAGUUUCCUCUGGAACACAGUAGCUCUGUAUGCUGACUGUGUUGAAAUACUUCCUAGAAGAUUGUUUAUUAAUGAUGCUGGUUUCUUCCUAAUCGUCAUUGACUUCUCAGCUCAGCUAUCUGGUAUCAAUUGUUCCCAUCUUCAGCUCCAGACAACUCAGAUUCUUAAUACAAAGUAUCACACAAACAGCCCAGCAGAGUCUGAAGUAGCCCCUCAAACUAACCUGUAAACCUUCACAAGCCAGACCCACAUCAUUUAUAUUAUUUUCAUCAUUAUUCUUAGUUUCUACAACAGUUUAGUGAAGCUUUGAACACCAGUUUCCACAAUCCUCCCCCAAACAACAUGACCAAGUCUGUUAAAGUAAUACUCUACUUUUGUAACAAUUUCUUCCUUAGUUACAGUUUCUAUUGCUAUUAUAAAACACCAUGACCAAAAACAACUUGGGGAACAUUUUCAAGGAACCUGGAGGCCCAAACAUGAUGAUACAGAUGAUGUGGAGGAUGCCUGGUUACUGGCUUGAUCCAUAGAUUAUUCAGCUGUGUUCCUUUAGUACCCAAGGACCACCAACCCAGAGACAGCCCCACCCACAGGGAGCUGAGUCCUCCCACAUCAACCGUCCAUCAAGAAAAUGCAGCAUAGGCCAAGCAUUUUCCUAUGCUGGUUUGGGCAUUUUCUCAAUUAAAAAAUGACUCUAGCUGUGUUGAGCUGACAUAAAACUUACCAACAUAUAUCGAAGAUAAUCCUGAAGUAUAGUUUAAAAACUAGUAUUGUUUCACUGUCUAACAUGGAACAGUUUUGGAAGCAAAAGGAAAAAUUCUUAUAAAUAAGAGAAUGUUACACUAUACAAAGAAUAUUCAGUAAACCCUUGUAAAUAAGAGGUUAGAGAUUAAAUGACAGUAAUUCUAAUGUGACCAACCAAACAGAAGUUAGCAAUAGAACUUGUUCAUUUCUUAAAGAUUAAGGGAAACUUUGUCCAGGACCACUAAUUUUGUGAUCUAAAUUCAUAGUACUCUUACUUUGUGUGAUUUUUUUGCAAAUGGGUCUUGUAAUACUAAACCAUGCCUUGCUUAUGACGUAGUUUAUCACACUGAGCACAUGUGUCCUUGAUUUACACCUGCCUUUGGUGUCUCCCAAUGCAUCAUUUCUUAGAAGGAAAAUAACUGACUUUAGAAAUGUAUUCUAGAACUUCUCAUUGCAUUGUUUUCUUGAAUUGUUUUCUAACUAAAAUGGGGUGUGCUCUCUCUUAUGUGUGGCAGUUGGAGGAAAUGUGGACUGGAAGCAGAUAGCCAGUAUUCAGGAGUCUAUUGGAGAAACCAGCUCUCAAAGUGUGGUAGUUGCUGUGGAUAGGUAAGGUGUUCACUUUCUCCCCUAUUCACUGUUUCAACACUGUUUUGCUCCUUGUUU
rnacentral:lncRNA from 1 species